GGAAGUGAGCGCCCCGGCCGGGGUUAAGGGCGGCGGAGAGGUCGGGCCGCCGCCGCUGGGCAGAGCGUGUCCCUCCCCGCCGCCAUCGCAAGCCCGCGGGAGCCCCCACUGCCCCCCCCCCGCGCUGUGCUUUGGGACCCUUCCGCCCUCGCUGCGCCCGGCGCCGCUGCAAAGCGCCCGGCCGCAGGGGGCCUGUCUCCCGGGCCGGCCUCUGCCUGGGGCUCCGCGCGGGACCCAGCCGCCCUCCACGGACCUCCUGCCUGCCCGGCGCGGCCGCCUCAGCCCCACUGGGUGACUCCGUCCUCCCCAGCGGGGGGCCCUGCCUGACACCUGGGCCGGGGACGCUUCAGGGGCACCCGCGUGUGUGUGUGUGUGUGUGGGUGUGUGUGUGAGAGGGGGGUGCCUCUCCAAGCGCCCUCCGCUCCGGCCUUUGAGCACGACCCACGCUUUCGGGAGCCUGGGCCGCGCGGGCGGAGAUGCUCCGGCUCCAGAGGGUGGGGCGGCUGGCGGGGCCAAGCUGCCCGCUCCGGAGACGCAGCGCUGCGUGGAGGAGCGCCACCAAAAAUGCGUCGGUUUCGGAAGUGCUGCAGCUGGAGGAUAAAAAGCUCACGGGCGUCGUUUUCCCGCUCCAGGGCCUAGAGAAGUAUCUAGCCCCGGACGUGAACACUGCCAGCUUCCGGACUUUCAGCCCCAGCCUGGGUGACCUCCACAGGGCGGAGGGGUUUUUCAAACCCUCGGGCAGACACGUGAUUCAUUACUUCAGUUCUGCCAUCCGCAUGGACCAUGCACCGCAGCUGUCGCAGCCUGAGGUGUGCUUUUUGGGCAGAAGCAAUGUUGGGAAAUCCUCCUUAAUAAAGGCUUUGUUUUCACUGGCUCCAGAUGUUGAAGUCAGAGUGUCAAAAACUCCAGGCCACACAAAGAAAAUGAAUUUCUUCAAAGUGGGGAAAUACUUUACGGUGGUGGACAUGCCAGGCUAUGGCUACCGAGCCCCCGAAGACUUUGCUGACAUGGUGGAGGCCUAUUUACAAGAGCGUCAGAACUUGAAGAGGACAUUCUUAUUAGUGGACAGCUUGGUAGGAUUGCAGAAGGCAGACGACAUUGCCAUAGAAAUGUUGGAGGAGUUUGGGAUCCCUUACGUUCUUGUGUUAACCAAAAUCGACAAAGUUCCCAAGGGACUGUUGGUUAAAAAUGUACUGGAGAUCCAGGACUUUGCAGAGAAACACACUCAGGGGUGCUUUCCUCAACUCUUCCCAGUCAGGAAACCUUCCCCUGAUGAAUUCCUGACAGACCUACCUCUCCGUGUCCACAACUCUCCUGUUGUACUCUACCCAUCCAGCACAAUAGCGUGGCAAGCUGCAGGUGACCAUGAAGAGCUCAUCAGCAGAGGUGACCAUGAUGGAGUCCCAGAAUCGCAAAAGAGCUCCAUCAUGGACUGAACAGGAGGUAUGGGAUCUGAUCGCUGUAUGGGGAGAGGAAUCCGUGCUAUCAGAACUCCGUUCCAGUUUUUGAAAUGCCAAAACCUUUGUGAAAAUCUCCCAGGGCAUGAAGGACAGAGGCCAUAACAGGGACCCGAAGCAGUGCCGCAUGAAACUGAAGGAGCUGAGGCAAGCCUACCAGAAAACCAGAGAGGCGAACGGCCGCUCCGGGUCAGAGCCCCAAACAUGCCGCUUCUAUGAUGAGCUGCAUGCCAUUUUAGGGGGUUCAGCCACCACUAACCCAGCCGUGUUGUUUGACUCCUUCAAUGGAGAUGGAGGCAAUACGGAAGCAGGUUUUGGGGACGAAGAAGAUGAUAGCUCACAGCAAGCAAGCGGAGAAACCGGUUUUCCCGACAGCCAGGAACUGUUUCUCACCCUGGACCUGGAGCCAGUACCCCCCGAACCCACCCAAGGCUGCCUCCUGGACCCAGCAGGUGGAGAAGGGACCUCUGCUGCAUGUGUUUCAAUGAUCACAGGAUCUUCUCCUUCCCAGAGGCUAGUGAAGCUUAGAAAGAAAAAAAAACGCACUCGAGAUGAAAU